GUGAAUCAUCGAAUCUUUGAACGCAAAUUGCACUCUCUUCGGAGAGUAUGACUGUUUGAGGGUCAGCCUAUAAAAAAUCGACAUCGUAGCUGUUUCGCGGUGGCGUUGGUCGGUAAUUGGGUCAUAUUAAAUCCUCUUGAUUUAAGCGACUUAUAAUUUUCUUUUGGUUCCAUGAACGUUUCUAAGAUCUAUUUCUUUACAUGUUUACGUUAUCGAUUUUUACUAUUGGUGACCAUCAUAUCGGUUCGCGUCC
rnacentral:misc_RNA from 1 species